rnacentral:rRNA from 1 species
GACGAACGCUGGCGGCGUGCUUAACACAUGCAAGUCGAGCGGAAAGGCCCUUUCGGGGGUACUCGAGCGGCGAACGGGUGAGUAACACGUGAGUAAUCUGCCCUUGGCUUUGGGAUAACUACCGGAAACGGUGGCUAAUACCGGAUAUGACCAUGCUCGGCAUCGGGUGUGGUGGAAAGUUUUUUCGGCCAGGGAUGUGCUCGCGGCCUAUCAGCUUGUUGGUGGGGUAAUGGCCUACCAAGGCUUCGACGGGUAGCCGGCCUGAGAGGGUGACCGGCCACACUGGGACUGAGACACGGCCCAGACUCCUACGGGAGGCAGCAGUGGGGAAUAUUGGACAAUGGGCGGAAGCCUGAUCCAGCAACGCCGCGUGAGGGAUGACGGCC